GACGUAGGGGGCAAGCGUUGUUCGGAAUUAUUGGGCGUAAAGCGCUCGUAGGCGGGACAGGAAGUUCGUGUUGAAAGACCUCGGCUCAACUGAGGGACCGGCUCGAAUACUCUUGUUCUUGAGGCAAUCAGAGGGUGAUGGAAUUCCCGGUGUAGCGGUGAAAUGCGUAGAUAUCAGGAGGAACACCGGUGGCGAAGGCGGGUCUCUGGGCCGUUACUGACGCUGAGGAGCGAAAGCGUGGGGAGCGAACAGG
rnacentral:rRNA from 1 species